rnacentral:rRNA from 1 species
CCUACGGGAGGCAGCAGUGGGGAAUAUUGCACAAUGGGGGAAACCCUGAUGCAGCGACGCCGCGUGAGUGAAGAAGUAAUUCGGUAUGUAAAGCUCUAUCAGCAGGGAAGAAAAUUACGGUACCUUCGUAAGACUCCCCGGCUAACUCCGUGCCAGCAGCCGCGGUAAUACGUAGGGGGCAAGCGUUAUCCGGAUUUACUGGGUGUAAAGGGAGCGUAGACGGCAGUGCAAGUCUGGAGUGAAGGGCGGGGGCUCAACCCACGGACUGCUCUGGAAACUGUAAGGCUGGAGUGCAGGAGAGGUAAGUGGAAUUCCUAGUGUAGCGGGGAAAUGCGUAGAUAUUAGGAGGAACACCAGUGGCGAAGGCGGCUUACUGGACUGUAACUGACGUUGAGGCUCGAAAGCGUGGGGAGCAAACAGGAUUAGAUACCCGUGUAGUC